rnacentral:rRNA from 1 species
CAGUCGCCACGGGAAUACAGAGGAUGCAAGCGUUAUCCGGAAUGAUUGGGCGUAAAGCGUCUGUAGGUGGCUUUUCAAGUCCGCCGUCAAAUCCCAGGGCUCAACCCUGAGCGUGCUUUCGAUACGGGUUGACUUGAGGAAGGUAGGGGAGAAUGGAAUUCCUGGUGGAGCGGUGGAAUGCGCAGACAUCAGGAGGAACACCAGUGGCGAAGGCGGUUCUCUGGACCUUUCCUGACGCUGAGGAGCGAAAGCGUGGGGAGCGAACAGGCUUAGAUACCCCCGUAGUCCCUGUCUCUUAUAC